GAGGAAGGAGGGAGGAGGGAGGAAUACAUGCAAGUCGAGCGAACGGACGAGAAGCUUGCUUCUCUGAUGUUAGCGGCGGACGGGUGAGUAACACGUGGAUAACCUACCUAUAAGACUGGGAUAACUUCGGGAAACCGUAGCUAAUACCGGAUAAUAUUUUGAACCGCAUGGUUCAAAAGUGAAAGACGGUCUUGCUGUCACUUAUAGAUGGAUCCGCGCUGCAUUAGCUAGUUGGUAAGGUAACGGCUUACCAAGGCAACGAUGCAUAGCCGACCUGAGAGGGUGAUCGGCCACACUGGAACUGAGACACGGUCCAGACUCCUACGGGAGGCAGCAGUAGGGAAUCUUCCGCAAUGGGCGAAAGCCUGACGGAGCAACGCCGCGUGAGUGAUGAAGGUCUUCGGAUCGUAAAACUCUGUUAUUAGGGAAGAACAUAUGUGUAAGUAACUGUGCACAUCUUGACGGUACCUAAUCAGAAAGCCACGGCUAACUACGUG
rnacentral:rRNA from 1 species